CCGGCGGGCAGACAAACCUCUCCUACCCGCAGUCCGCAGCCCUGCGCUUGCGCAAUAGGCCCCUGUCGGACCCCGGCUCGUCACACUCCGGCGGAGGGCGAGAGACGCACAGAACGCCGGCGAGCUCGGCGUGGCCAGCGAGGGUUUCCAUGGAGGAGCUCUGCCCUGCAUCAGCUGGGAGAAGUGGCGAAGGGGACCCGCCGGGACCAGAGGAAGGGACUGCUGUAGAGGGCGAACAGGUUUUUGAAGGAAUUCCUCUGGCUCUGGGUUUUGACUGUAUUUUUAGUUGGUGUUUAGUAUACCAUUUUGAAUGUAUUUGUUCUUGAUAAUCAAUAAAAAUCAAUCCUCGGUCUCGUUAUCUCUGCGUAA